CGGGGAUGUCGCUGUGCCUCUGCGCGGGGCAGGGCAGCUGGAGCUCAGCAGGCGCGGACGUCCCUGCGUCUCCGUGGCCGCGGGGGAGCGGGGCGCGACCGUGCGUUUAAACCAGUGACACACGGCACUUGAGCCCCGUCGUUGCCUUUUCGUCUUUUGUCGUCCGCCCUUGAUGGAGGCCCCGGUGGCGAGGAACCAAGAGGUGACAGCUUGAACGGGGCACCUGAAAGGGGUCCACACCCCGAGAGCCUGUCUCCCUGCUCCCCACGUUUUCCUCCCUCGGGCCUGCCUUCCAGGUGGCCGCCUGGCACCGCAGAGCCCCGGGCAUUCCGCACCGGAGGCGAGGCGGAGACCUCCUGAGCCCUUCGUCGGAGCAGAGUGUACUGAAGUGGCUACUCUCAGGGUUCUGUGUUUCCUGUCGGUCCGUCCUUCAACUCGCAUGUGUCCCCUACCCAUCCAAGUGAAGUGCAGUCAACAGUCACGACCCUAGGCGUCCACGUCCAGGGAAGCAAGGAGAGCACAAGCAGGGGGAGCAGCAGAAGGAGAGGGAGAAGAAGGCUCUCCACUGACCAGGAAGCCUAAUGUGGGGCUCCAUCCCAGGAUCCUGGGAUCAUGACCUGAGCCGAAGGCAGACGCUUAAAGAACCAAGCUGCUCAGGUGCAUGUUGCUCAAUCUCAUUGAAGAAUUGAUGUUCUUACCUGUGAAAUGAGGAAAGAUGAUUAUGUAUCCUCACAGGUUGUGAGAAGGAAGAGAUGCCCUGAGUGCACCACACGUGCAGUGAAUAUUGAAGGUAGUCCACCCAGGCAGUUUAGCGCCACCUGCAGCCUGGGGUGUGAUCCUGAAGACCUGGAAUCCAGUCCCACGUCAGGCUCCCUGCAUGGAGCCUGCUUCUCCCUCUGCCUGUGUCUCUGCCUCUCUCUCUC